rnacentral:rRNA from 1 species
CCUUAGAGUUUGAUCCUGGCUCAGGAUGAACGCUAGCUACAGGCUUAACACAUGCAAGUCGAGGGGAAACGACAUCGAAAGCUUGCUUUUGAUGGGCGUCGACCGGCGCACGGGUGAGUAACGCGUAUCCAACCUGCCCACCACUUGGGGAUAACCUUGCGAAAGUAAGACUAAUACCCAAUGACGUCUCUAGAAGACAUCUGAAAGGGAUUAAAGAUUUAUCGGUGAUGGAUGGGGAUGCGUCUGAUUAGCUUGUUGGCGGGGUAACGGCCCACCAAGGCGACGAUCAGUAGGGGUUCUGAGAGGAAGGUCCCCCACAUUGGAACUGAGACACGGUCCAAACUCCUACGGGAGGCAGCAGUGAGGAAUAUUGGUCAAUGGGCGAGAGCCUGAACCAGCCAAGUAGCGUGCAGGAUGACGGCCCUAUGGGUUGUAAACUGCUUUUAUAAGGGAAUAAAGUGAGUCUCGUGAGACUUUUUGCAUGUACCUUAUGAAUAAGGACCGGCUAAUUCCGUGCCAGCAGCCGCGGUAAUACGGAAGGUCCGGGCGUUAUCCGGAUUUAUUGGGUUUAAAGGGAGCGUAGGCCGGAGAUUAAGCGUGUUGUGAAAUGUAGACGCUCAACGUCUGCACUGCAGCGCGAACUGGUUUCCUUGAGUACGCACAAAGUGGGCGGAAUUCGUGGUGUAGCGGUGAAAUGCUUAGAUAUCACGAAGAACUCCGAUUGCGAAGGCAGCUCACUGGAGCGCAACUGACGCUGAAGCUCGAAAGUGCGGGUAUCGAACAGGAUUAGAUACCCUGGUAGUCCGCACGGUAAACGAUGGAUGCCCGCUGUUGGUCUGAAUAGGUCAGCGGCCAAGCGAAAGCAUUAAGCAUCCCACCUGGGGAGUACGCCGGCAACGGUGAAACUCAAAGGAAUUGACGG